rnacentral:rRNA from 1 species
AGGUUAUGCAAGCCUGGCGUUGGUUGUCCAGGUGAAAGUGCGUAGAGUUGUUUCUUAGGCAAAUCCGGGAAACUACAUGCUCGAGACACGAGACGAGACUCUAAGGAGUUGAAGUUGCAAAUACCAUGCUUCCAGGAAAAGCCUCUAAACUUAUGAUAUAUCAAACCGUACCCCAAACCGACACAGGUGGUCAGGUAGAGAAUACUAAGGCGCUUGAGAGAACUCGGGUGAAGGAACUCGGCAAAAUUGUACCGUAACUUCGGGAGAAGGUACGCCUCUGUUUGUGAUUGAACUUGCUUCAUGAGCGAAUGGGGGCCGCAGUGAAAUGGUGGCUGGAACUGUUUAUUAAAAACACAGCACUGUGCUAAAUCGAAAGAUGACGUAUACGGUGUGACGCCUGCCCGGUGCCGGAAGGUUAAUUGAUGGGGUUAGUCCUCGGACGAAGCUCUUGAUCGAAGCCCCGGU